CUAGACCUAUCCAUAACCCUAUCCCAGCCAGUUCUAUUGUGUGAGACAAUCACUCAGCAGCUGUGGCCCAUUUGUAAAAGGGAGUGACCUGCAUGCUUAACUCGUGGCUACGUAAGAGACCAUGUCUACCAGGGGAAUUAGCAGAUCAGCUCACAGAGCAACAGAUGUGGCCCACACCCAUUCGAGGGAGAGAGAAAAAAAAACACAUUGCGCAUGGGUCUCCAACUUAACACCACUGUCAACUUAACAGCAAAGCAGUUGCACAAAUUCAUCAAGAAAAGGGAGUUAACGAAAAACGUAUUGUUUGACUUGGAAUGGGUGAGUUCUGCAUUUCUUGACAUUUAUCGUUUCUAUUAAGGAGUUUGUAUUGGCGUUCUAUGAUAGACUUUGUAAACAAGUUGCACUGUGAGAAGGACAGAGAGAGAAAAGUGAAGAGAACUUCAAGCCAACGUCCAUAAUAUCUGGAUUAAUUCUGUCAUAUCAGUGAUUUUCAGAUUGAGGAAUAAUCCUGACAAUGCAUGUAGUCAUUGGUGUCAUUUGUGUGGUUUUGAAUAGUGAAAUGCCCACUUUGACUGUAUGAGAACAUCUCCACUCUGUUAACUGCGAUAAAAUACUUAACCACCUGAGAUAUUGUACAUGUAAAAGAGGAGGCAGCUAUGUUUCAUUUAAGAAAUAACACGUUCACUAUUUCUCUGCAUUCUGUAAAUCCAGCACUGACUGACAUCAUCAUGAAGGCAUCAACCACAGCAGGUCCGGCAAUAACCAUGACAUCGCCAGAAGCCUUCGAACAAGGAAUCAUUGAGGACGUCACCCGUCUGGUCACACAGAAUUUCACAGAACACUUCACACAACCCUUCAGAGCUGGAGUUCUGACAACAACUUCUGCAGAUAUGACUGAAACAAACUCAGCCGCUUUUUUAGUGGGAGCCGCCCACGUAGAGGAUGGAUCCUUUGAAGCCAUUUUCGGAGGAGUCAUUUUUGCCCUGUUCCUGGCGCUGCUCCUGGCGUUGCUGAUACUGCGCUACAUUGUCAAGCAUAAGGGCACUUACCACACCAACGAGGCCGACUGUGGUGAUUCCGUAAACAAGUUUGGCGGUGACUCUCAAAGCGAGCAGGUUCAACUAGAGAUUUUGGACAAGGAAGAAUAG
rnacentral:lncRNA from 1 species